CGAAAGCCUGACGGAGCAAUACCGCGUGAGGGAGGAAGGCCUUUGGGUUGUAAACCUCUUUUCUCAGGGAAGAAGAUCUGACGGUACCUGAGGAAUAAGCAUCGGCUAACUCCGUGCCAGCAGCCGCGGUAAUACGGAGGAUGCAAGCGUUAUCCGGAAUUAUUGGGCGUAAAGCGUCCGCAGGUGGUUUUUCAAGUCUGCUGUCAAAGACCGAAGCUCAACUUCGGAAAGGCAGUGGAAACUGGAAAACUAGAGUUCGGUAGGGGUAGCGGGAAUUCCCAGUGUAGCGGUGAAAUGCGUAGAUAUUGGGAAGAACAUCGGUGGCGAAGGCGCGCUACUGGACCGAAACUGACACUCAGGGACGAAAGCUAGGGGAGCGAAAGGGAUUAGAUACCCCUGUAGUCCUAGCUGUAAACG
rnacentral:rRNA from 1 species